CCAAAAUCACUUUUUUUUAGGAUUUAUUACUAUUUGAAAAUUUUUUGGACGAAUUUUUGGGUUACACUCUUUAAGUAGGAAUAUCUUGGAAAGGGUUAAGUAAGGACGGUAGGUCUCAUAGUGAUAUCUUUCGGAAUAACCCUAGACUACCUCCCCUUAACGGCUCCGCCACUAAUUUCCAGUCACCCUAUAUAUUAUUUAUAUUAUAUUGUAGGACGAUAUUGUUAGGCGAUUUCUUGAGGUUGUUAUUGUUGCGCCAGCUUUGGAAAAGUGCCUUUCGCAAGGUACAGAGGUACCUACUAUAUUUAAAUAAAUGUGUGUUGUGGGGUGUGGGUGUUUGUUCCUAUGAAGCUGGGAAUAUGGGCUUUAAAUCUUCCCAUACCUCCAGUGAGUUAGAUUUUAAAGCGCGCUUAUUUGCCAAAUAAAUUGAUACUUCAUCGGCGUUCGAGAAACGUUUUCGCUUCUGGCCAACUGCGACUUGCGUCUUGGAAAAGAAGAUUUUUGAACCGUAGAUCUAACAUUGUUGCCUACGCUGCAAGUGUAUUAAAUUCAAUGAAACCAAAUCUUUUCUUGCCUUCAGCUAUAAGUUUCAUUUGCAACUGUGUCACACAUUCUAUUGAAGAUGUUAAGUUAGUUAGCUGCGAUGUGGGACAGUUUAUCAUGGGUGUGAUUUUAGAUAAGGUUACAUAAUUUUGGCCUGAUGAGAGUCAUCAGUGAGUCAGAGUGUAACAUAUUCGAAAGGAUUUAACAAUAAUAUAUUCCAUAUUUCCUGUCCAUUCACUAAUUCAGGACCGUCUGUAGCAUCGAGUUAAAGUUGUGAAACAAUUUUAGACAUUUCUGAAAACCAAUCAACAAUGAAGUAUAAUGAAUUUCAACGCGUCUUAACAUCAACAAUAUUUUUUUGUGGUUCCUUCAGAUACUCCACUAUCAAUCUGAUUUUUUCUUAAUUUGUCUGAUUGUAUAAAUAGUCGAAGUAUUUUUUAACGAUGAAUCCACAAUCAAAUUGAUUGUAUGUGGAAAACACGGCAAAUGUUUUGCGCCCCAAGAGAUUUUUUGAACCAUUGCGAUAUUCGAACUGGUAAGAAGUGUUUUCUCUAAAAAAUGUACCGCAACGCUCAAAAAACUUUUUAUACAUAAUCAUUGUUGAUGGCGGGCCAAGAAAUAAAAAAAUAUUUUCACUUCUUGUUAACUGUUUGUGUUUGUGAAGAAUUCUUCCAGGCCGAUUUUAUUUCGUAUAAAAUUUCCUUUAACAUCAUUUUAUGUUCUUGUGUGUCGUUGUAUAUAAAGGUUUCAUUCUCCAACUCAAACUCUCUCCUCGCCCGUUCAAAUCUUGACGGUUCUUCCGGUUUUAAUGAUUGUUGAAAUACCCAAACAUUUGCGAUGUGAAACCAAUUACGGAUUUUUCGUUGUAUUGGUUGGUGCACAUAAGGUUAAUCCCUUGAUUUGAUUUAGCAAACACUUCUGAUUCUGUGAAAGCACCUCUCUCACAUAAAAGUACAAUAAUAUCUGUAUUUCUACUAUUAACCAACUGAUUUUCUCCGUGUUCAUUGUUGUUGGUAUCGUUUUCCCAUCCAUCCAAAAGUUUAUUUUUUUUGCCUGGAAUUUGAUGUCCGGACAUUCCUUCCUGACCGUCAUUAGAUUGAACAGUUGUGCCCACCAAUCCGUCGUGUUAUUUUUGUAUUGAAACGCCUUCAAGUCGAAAUAUUGUAUCUGCCCCCUCGGCACAAUUAUGUUUGUGUUUUCCAUUGAUUUUGGCUGACCAAUCCACAAUAAUGGUCGGCGCACUGAAAAGUUUCAAUAUGUUCCGGGCCGAGAAUGUCCUAUAGUAUUUGACGACCAUUGUCGGAAUAAAGAAACUCGCGUACACAAGCCAGACAGUCAACUGAUUUGUUCUUGUAGGCUCUUCGUCAAAUAAUUCUCCCCAAUCUAGAGUUAAUCCCCCCACUCUUUAUUACUAAUGUAGUACACUCAGCGGCACGGAAUGUGGCCCAAGUUUAAUUUAAGGGUUUUUUUUCCAAAUUUUCAGUUUUAGAAAACAAUACCCAUAACACAAAUUUAAGAAAAAAGUUUAACCACCCUAGCCCCGAUGGCGGCUCGCAUGUGAUCGGGCAUGCUGUGUAUUAUGUUUUUUUAUGUCCGUUUGCGAUACUUCUUGUCCCAGACAUGUUCAAUGGGGUUCAGGUCAGGACUUCUAGCAGGCCACUGCAUUUUUUGUAUACCGACCUCCGAAAGGUAAUCGGAAAAGCAAUGCGCUGUGUAUGGUAGAGCGUUAUCCUGCAUUAACAGAAAAUCUGUAUCACCAAUGAACCCCAUGUAAGGUAAAACGUGGUCUUGAAGGAUGUGUUUGAUGUAUCGCUCUGCUGUUAAUCGGUUUUCAAUGAUGACUAACUCUGUACGGUCCUCUGAACUUACUCCACCCCCAACCAUAACAGACCCGCCAUGGAAACUUACCGUUUGUCUGGUAGUGAUUGGCAGAAGUCGCUCUCCACGUAUUCUCCACACACGUUUUCGGCCAUUUGAAGCUCUUAAUCUUACUCUGCGCUCAUCAGUCCACAACACUUUGCUCUACUGCUCGUGAUCCCAAUUCACGUGUUCCUGUGCAAACCGCAAUCGGCAUACUCGAUGUUGUCAGAGCAAUUCUGGCCCUCGUUCUGGUCUUCUAGCGCGUAAAUUACGUUCCUCCAUCCUCCUUCUUACUGUUUGUUCACUCACGUUAAUCCCUCUUGCUGUUUGUAGGCGCUGCCGUAUCUCAACCGCGAUGAGAAACAGAUUUCUUAGGAUUUCUAAGCCAAUAAAUCGGUCACCUCGAACUGAUGUGCAUCUGAUUCCACCACUUCCAUUAAGUAGGAUUGACAAUUCUUUUCUAUGAAAACAAUAAAAAAACAAUAUCUGCAGCCAAUAUGUGACUACUAAAAUUUAACCACCAGUGUUCUUUGCGUGCCAAACUCGAUUCGAUUAUUUCAUCAUAUGAGGUCGCCGGAUCUUACGAGCCUAAUUAUGAGUUAUCAAAUAAAAUCAAAUCUCUGUAUACCAACAUUCGUUAAAAUAGAUCUUUAAAUCUUUAACAGCUCAAUUAUCAAUCAAAAUCGCUACCCUCAUUAUCACUAACUUGUCUUGUUUUGGGGGGGUGCAUGCGGCAAGUUUUUAUGGCAGGAAUAAUAUGUUCUGUUCGUACGUGCAUGGAGUUCAGAUCUUUUCAGAUUCACCAAGGACACCCCCUUCUCGCUGGUGUUGAAGAGAAAGAAGAAUUAUAAAUUAAUAAAACAGAAAAAGCACACUAUAAAACACAAAAGUUAAUCGUCCAUUAAACAAGAUAUGAAAAGGCAGGAAUCCAAUUGAUGUCUAUGACUAAACGCAUUAUUUCAAUGACAGAUGAAAGCUGUCAUUUAAGGCUAACAGUUUAAUAUUUGAAACUUUGAAACCGCGUUUGGAUAUAAAAAAUUCUUCAUUUUAUUUCUAAUCCAUCAGGCUACCAGCUAAUUUAUACAAAUCAAAGAAAAUUACAAUGAGGUUCAAUGAUUUCGAAGCAUUUACAUAAGUUACACAAGAUUAAAUAAGUCUAAGGUAUAAGGGAGCAGGAUGGGUCGAUGACAUAAUAAAGGUCUCGGGUCGAGUCUGGAUGAGGCCUAUGCCCAGCAGUGGGAGGAUAAAGGCUGUUUAUGAUGAUGAUGAUCAUGAUGAAGGUGUCGCAAUCGAGAAGAUAAGCCAAGAUGUUUCAAUUUAAGGCACCGACGAGAUUGAAGCGAAAACUACGUUAAAACUGAAGGGUGCGCAGCUGACAGAUCCGACGUCCAGUUUUACGCUGUACUUUGGAUACUUCCUGGUCCCUGGGUGAUCCAGGAUCGGUGCCUGCAGUCUCGAUGGCGCCGGUGGGUGAACGCACAAUCUAAUUGAUAUAGACCUCACCCAUCGUCUCAAUCUAACGUCUGGUUUUAUUAGGACGAAGAAUCACUACACAUUCUACCUUCAGUAGUCCAACGGUUCUUCAUGCUGAAGUCUUUCCUAGCAGCAAGGAAAGUUUGAUGCCGAUUCUGGGUCAGGAAUUCCGAGAUAGUGAUGCCGGUACCUUGCUUCUUGGCUUCCCACACUAGCUGAAGGUCGCUUACUUUAAAGAAUCGCACCAGAAUUGGCAGAAUAUUCUGCCCUGAAGCCUAGCCGGUGUCAAAUGUGCAAGGAAUACAAUGGAGUAGUACCACUUUCUUUCGCAUAAAGGUGUCAUGACGGUAAAACCAACUCCAAGCAACUGAAUCUUGGAUUUUAAUCAAGGAUUUUAAUUUUGAAAGAGCCUGCCAGACAAACUUCUUAAAAUUGCCAAACUUGCUGCUUAUUGAAGAAAAUAUGCUGACAGCCGCUAAGCGAUUUCCCGUACCCGACGCCUCGGUCAGCCUCUCUUCGUAUUUAGCCAAGCGUGAAUUAUAUAUCUGCUCCAAAUCUUGAAGGCUGUUUGCAAAUUUGCUGUCUAUGUUAAUUUUUCACUGCUUUGUAAUAAAUCAUCA